GAAUCCUGGAAAAAUGCAAAUGAAGGGGAGCGUAGACAGGGUUGAGAUUUCCAUUCAGAUACAUCAUCGAAGAGUGAUAACUGGUCCAGAUCCAAUGGUAAGUGGGACCUGUAUAGCAGAGAAGAGUCCUCACGUGCUGUAGUGAGAGUGAAAUUAUCCGAUUACUCGUUUGUACGAUCCUUUUCCAUACCUGACCUGUCAAAAUUAGUGUAUGAGCUUCUGGUCUGCACAACACAUACAAUCCAGGGUAUAAUAUAGUGCGACCUUUAGGUCCCUGUACCCCUGACUGUCCGGGCACGUAUCUCCAAGUAGUAGGACGUAGGCCAAGGGACCCAGGAACGAGAAUCCGAGACAUCUAGGUCAAGGUAUCCCUAUAGAGGAAUACCUCCCUUCUUAGCCUGGAGUCCCGCGAACUCAUAAUGUUCUCUAAUAUGUAGGCAAGACGUAAAGUCCUUUCACUCACAACAGAUGACUCC